AUUUGGGCAUUUGCUGCUUCGGUGACUGAGGGGAAAAAAUGCUCAUGGUUAAAUUAUGGGAGUUCUAUGUUUGAGGUCAGUCGGUCUAAGGAUAUAUUAGUGAAUAAACCUUGGUGAUUAUUGGAGUUAAACAGUAAAUUAAAAACUGAAUGUGAGACAAAAUAGCAAAUUUCUUAGAUUUCAGUUAGUGACUACUUUUGGUUUCCAACAGCCUCAAUAUUUCUCUGUAGACUAUUAACC